AUCAUCAUCAUCAUCAGGUGUCAUCAUAAUGACACCAUUCCGAAGUAAAAACACAUAAAAUAUGAAGAAAAAAAAUACUUUUUAUAAUUCCUCUUCACACUUAAACUGCUGAACCAAUUUAGUUAAACCCACAUUAUAGACGGGUCUAACGCGGGUAUGUGAGUUAAUAUGUGUUCAAAACGCGAAAGUUUAAAAUAUUCAAUUUAGUUCAUAUUUGGUAGGUACAGAGAUAGUUUGAGUCCCAGGGAAUAACAUAGCAAACUUUUAAUCUCAAAAAUUAUCCCUUAAGGAUGUGAAAAGGGAGGAAGCAAAUGAAGCUUUAUUUGUAAGUAUAUAAAAUAAAAUAAUAUUAAUAAUCUAUCAACCGCAUCUAGAUCGAUAGUGCUCGUCAAGGCAAAUCUAUUGAGCCCAAAUACGAUGGAGUUAUGAUGAGUAGAUUCGGAGUUCUGGUGACCAACUCCUGUCUCCAUCAUGAGAACCUGGGCUUCAUCUAGAUCGAUGGUGCUUGUCGGGGCAAAUCUAUUGAUCCCAAACACGAUGGAGUUAUAAUGAGUAGAUUAGGACUUCUGGCGACCAACUCCUAACUCCAUCUCAUUAAUGGAGUCAGGAGUUGGUCACCAGAAGGGGCUCGUGACUCUGGACAUCAUCUAGAUAGAUGGUGCUCGUCAGGGCAAAUCUAAUGAGCCCAAACACCAUGGAGUUAUAAUGAGUAGAUGAGGAUUUCUGGUGACCAACUCCUGACUCCAUCAUGAGAACCUGGACUUCAUCUAGAUCAAUGGUGCUCGUCGGGGCAAAUCUAUUGAGCCCAAACACGAUGGACUUAUGAUGAGUAGAUUAGGACUUCUGGUGACCAUCUCAUCAUGGAGUCAGGAGUUGGUCACCAGAAGGGUCUCAUGACCCUGGACCUCAUCUAGAUAGAUGAUGCUCGUCCGGGCAAAUCUAAUGAACCCAAACACGAUGGAGUGAUAAUAAGUAGAUUAGGAGUUCUGGUGACCAACUCCUGAGUCCAUCAUGAGAACCUGGACCUCAUCUAGAUCCGUGGUGUUCGUCAAGGCAAAUCCAUGGAGCCCAAACACGAUGGAGUUAAGAUGAGUAGAUUAGGAGUUCGGUGGCCAAUUCCUGACUCCAUCAAGAGAACCUGGACAUCAUCCAGGUCGUCCGGGUAUAAUUAAAAUGCAAACCCUAACCAGAAUUCAAGUAACACUGAAAAUCUAUCACAUAAGCGAGAGUCGGUUGUUAAAAUUUAAUAUGGUGUGAAAAAUGUACUCUCCCUUGGAUCAAGAUUUUCUAAUCAUAGUAUACAACAGUUCUCGGAACUCGCUCAAUGUUUACGAAGCAAUGAGCGCCUGACGAUCGAGCGCAGGUCCGUUCCCUAAGCGCGCUCGGCGGAGAAUGAGCGCGCGGCGUCGCUGCAGCGUGAUUUAUAGGUCUUUUAAAAAAAUAUAUAUUUACGGCAAGGUAGGUCCUAUAGUUAUGAUUUUUUUUUAAUGAGUAAACAUAAAGUUACAGUUUGUUAAAAUAUUUUUUUUGUGGCAAAAUAUAAGUCCAAUUAGCGAUAAAAAAAUGUAAUGUAACCCUGUUUUCACCAAAAAAAUUAAGAAAACUCGGAAGGUGUUUUAUCAUGUUUUUUAAAUGAAAGUUCGAUUUUCAAGCAUGUAAGCCCCUCGUACAACAUAUGAUGAGUUGAAUUGUAAUCAUUCAUAUACCAAAUAAUUCUUUUUUACUGCAAAAUUGAGAGCCGAAACGACCCUUCUCACUGCAAAUUUUGAAAAAGACUUCUAAGAAAACUCAUU